UUAUCAAAACUCCAGAGGCAAAAUCGUGGGCUGAAUCUGAAUCAAUGACUCCAAUUGUAAGUUCCAUUUAUUAUUUUAAUUAUAUUUUGUUUUUCUUAUUUUUUUUUAUAACGCAGCAAUUUAUCGAAGCGACGGUCAACAAGACUUUCGGCAAAAAUAAGAAGAAUCGAAUAAUUGGAAUCGGAGAAGCUGCAAGUAUGGUGAGCACAACAAACGAAAGAUGGGCUGCUCCAAAUUGGAAAGGAAAAGAGCCGAUCUCAGAGAGCACGACUGUUGAAACACCACCAGAUGCAGUAUGGUCGGAAAAAUUCAAAGCAUUGGAGGUAUUUACAAUAUAUUUUAAUAAUUUUGUUGAUUACCGAACUCAUUGUUGUUUUCAUUUUCAGAACAAGUGUAACGAGAGUCAAAAAGACGUCUCGAAAUACAAGAAAAAGUUCAAUGCUAUGAAAUCCUAUAUGAAGAAAUUGAACAAGACUUUGAAGACUUCUGGACUAGACAUGACGCAGCUGGCUUCUACUUCAAAGUCAACAAUACCGUCUGCAUUCGGAUCAGAUAAUUCUGAUUCUGAAGAUUCUGAUUCUGAUUCAGAAGACGAGUGUUGAUAAACAAUUUUUUUUUUCUUAUUAAAACUUCGAAUGUUUAACGAUUCUGUAAUUUAAUUUCUUUUUAAUAAAAAACAUCGAUUUCCAUUUCUAUUUCAAAUCGUUUUCUCAAAUAUCGCUUUUAUUUCGAAAAACAACGAUUCGAACGCACAAUAUAGAAUCCUGUUUUAAAAAAAAAAAUGUAACAAACCUUGUAUGGCGGAUUUCCGCCAUCUAAACUCUUCUACUAAGUUUUAGAUGGCGGAAAUCCGCCAUCUAAAGCUGGGCACAAUCGCCCUCUCCCAC
rnacentral:lncRNA from 1 species